rnacentral:rRNA from 1 species
UACGUAGGGUGCAAGCGUUGUCCGGAAUUAUUGGGCGUAAAGCGUGCGCAGGCGGCUUUGCAAGACAGAUGUGAAAUCCCCGGGCUUAACCUGGGAACUGCAUUUGUGACUGCAUGGCUGGAGUGCGGCAGAGGGGGAUGGAAUUCCGCGUGUAGCAGUGAAAUGCGUAGAUAUGCGGAGGAACACCGAUGGCGAAGGCAAUCCCCUGGGCCUGCACUGACGCUCAUGCACGAAAGCGUGGGGAGCAAACAGG